GAGUUUGAUCUUGGCUCAGAUUGAACGCUGGCGGCAUGCCUUACACGUGCAAGUCGAACGGCAGCACGGGAGCUUGCUCCUGGUGGCGAGUGGCGAACGGGUGAGUAAUGCAUCGGAACGUAUCCUGGAGUGGGGGAUAACGUAGCGAGAGUUACGCUAAUACCGCAUAUUCUGUGAGCAGGAAAGCGGGGGACCUUCGGGCCUCGCGCUCUUGGAGCGGCCGAUGUCGGAUUAGCUAGUUGGUGAGGUAAAGGCUCACCAAGGCGACGAUCCGUAGCAGGUCUGAGAGGAUGAUCUGCCACACUGGAACUGAGACACGGUCCAGACUCCUACGGGAGGCAGCAGUGGGGAAUUUUGGACAAUGGGGGCGAACCCUGAUCCAGCCAUGCCGCGUGAGUGAAGAAGGCC
rnacentral:rRNA from 1 species